rnacentral:rRNA from 1 species
GCAGAAAUGCGUAGCUGAUGGGAAGCAGGUCAAUAUUCCUGCACCAUUGUUAGAUGCGAUGGGGGGACGGAUCGCGGAAGGUUGUCCGGGUGUUGGAAGUCCCGGUCGCUGCAUUGGAGAAGGCGCUUAGGCAAAUCCGGGCGCGUAAUUCAAGGGUGCGGCGCGAGCUCCUUAGGGAGCGAAGCAAUUGGAAGUGGUUCCAAGAAAAGCCUCUAAGCUUCAGUCUAACGAUGACCGUACCGCAAACCGACACAGGUGGGCGAGAUGAGUAUUCUAAGGCGCUUGAGAGAACUCGGGAGAAGGAACUCGGCAAAUUG